rnacentral:lncRNA from 1 species
CAAGAAAAAGAGCAGUGCAGUGGCACCUCACAGUCCUGUUCAGAGGGGCAGGCUGUUCUGGGGAAAUUUAUUUCAAAAGGUAUUCUGAAUUAAAAACAUGCCCACUUGGGAGGGGGCAGUGAUCCCAUAUCCUAUAUCCUAGGUAAUGAGGCCAUUAAAACAGCUGGUCUCCGCACAUUUUAUGUAAGAGCGGCUUGAUCCCUGAGUGAGUUGGGUAAACCCACACAGAAUUUAACGGAGUGAGCCAUCCCUAACCCAGAGUUAGGGGUGGAGGUCAGAUGUGGAGUGGUCCCAGGAGGGGGCCGUAUGUUUAUUUGGCUUUGAGGGAUUGGGGACACCGAUGAAGAUUUGGAGGAGCUGAAGGGCUCCUCCCUGGCACUGCAAGACGUUGCAGAACUAGUGGCAAAAGUCUGAACUUUGGAGACAGACCUCUUGGAGGGAGACCCAGCCCGGCUUCUCCCCAGCCGUGUUAUUGUGUGCAAGUUCUUGAGCCGACCUCUGAUGAGUUAAUGGGAGUACUUCGUGAAAUAAGACAGGUGGGAACUUAGAAAAUGCUAAUUAUUCAGUAACUCUUAAGAUAAAACCCAUCAAAUGGAGACAUCUUUUUAGUAUCAGUAAACCUCAUCGUUUUCAUUCCACACUAUUUUCUGGGUCAUCAAACUGUAGGAGGUGAGAUGCGGUGCCAUCUUUGCCUCACAGUUAUACCAGCAGGCAGGUAUUCCCCAAACACGCAGUGACGCCCAGCUUCAACCCGAGGUGAGCACGCGGACCUCGAGCACGGCCUCAGCAGGGUCUCCCCUCCUUCUUCCUGUCCUCGGAGACUGGGGCUGGAGGGGACGCUCUCCAGGGGCAGGUGGGCGUUCCCUAUCCUACUGAGACCCCGCCGCAUACCCAGUGGAGAAAAGCCCCGGAGGCUGCAGCUCUUACAUAACCGGGAUGAUGUAACCGCUGCGACGGGAGAGGGGGGGUGCGGGACGGGAGCACCGGGAGCGUGGGGCCGCGGGACUCUGCAUGCGGCGUGCGUCCUGCCACGCUCCUCUACCGUAGCGCCGCGUGGUUCGCCAAGGGACUGCGCGAAUACACCAAGUGGCACAGUUCAUCUGGUUUGUCAAGAUCAAAACUGAGCGGAAGAUGCCAGAGGUGAGAUCGUCAGGAAGAGCGGGAACCAGAACAUCUUUCUGCAUAUUGUGGACUUGUCCGAUCCCAGGACCAUCUGGAAAUGUGUUGAAAAUUCCAAGUGAGAGCAUACCCUCAAUGUCCUGGACUGUUGGUUCAGAAACUGAAGACCAACGACCUGCAGUCGGAAAGGACAGCAUUCGAUGGCACCAUGGUCUAUGCACAAAACAAGCGGCAGCAGGUGGUUCUGACCAAGCUGUGGGCCCAGGCACACCUGCCAUCCACUUCUCCUGCAUGCAUCCCGGCUGCAUCGACACCCCAGGAACUAAUGGGAGAUGUGGAAAUUGAGGUUGCUCAUCGCAGCACCAGGGCUCGGCGCCUGCGUUAAUAAACCACGGGCCUCCUGUGCGGGAAAUCUGCUCGGCCCUGAAACCCCUGCUGUGGAUGAGUGUCUACCGGGAAGGAAAACUGUCUUCACUGGGCCAUGAAACAGCAGCUCCCCCAGCUUUUACCUCUCGUGCUUCCUAGAGGACCAAGGGAGGAAAAAUAAAGAAGACAGGACCCUAAAUAGCAAGGGUUCUAAAUCUGUUCUUUCAGCCAACCUGAAGGUCAGAUGCACUUUUGGACUCACAAGGAUGAAUACCCUGAGGUACCUGUUUCUUUUUUGCUUUUUUUCUGUUGUUGCUUUUUAGGGCUGCACCCGCGGCAUAUGGAGGUUCCCAGGCUAGGGGUUGAAUCAGAGCUGCAGCUGCCAACCUACACCACAGCCACAGCAAUGCCAGGUCCGAGCCUCAUCUGUGACCUGGGCCUCCGCUUGUGGCAACGCCAGAUCCUUAACCCACUGAGUGACGCCAGAGGUUGAACCACAUCCUCAUGGAUACUAGUUGGGCUCUUAACCUGCUGAACCACAACGGGAACUCCUUGACGUACCUGUUUUUAAUGAGAGGUAUCAUGACUCACCUCUACCACCUUUUUCAAACCUCCUGGGCUUUAGAUGGGAAAUACAGGCAGCAACUUACUUGAUGUGACAGAAGACAAAGGCAGUGGGACGUGCUCCCAUUUACCUCAGUCCAGGCAGUGGAUGGGCGGGUCACCGGUAGCGGUUCAGCCAGUCCGAUAACUACAGUCAUGGAAUCAUAGACUCGUGACCUGGAAAGGACCUUAACAGUGGUCACCAAGGCCGACGCUUCCUCAAGGCUUUUAAGGAGUUUCCACGAUGAUAGACAAGGGGCGACAUACUGUCCGAAAUUUCCAGGCAUAAGAAACACAAAAGAGGGAUUCCCUCCCUCCCCUUCCGGUGCUGGACAGCGCUAAUUUGAGCGCCUGCUCGCUUGUGUUAGGCCUGACUAGGCUGCUUGUUGGAAUGGGUAACGCUUAAAGGCACAUUACAAACGAGAACCCCAAGGGCUGCCCUGUGUCUAGUUCGUGGUUGUAAAGUUGAGCUGAAGUUUAAAAAUGACCACGGAUGGUCCGGACAUAGGACCCUCAGGCGGGUGGCACGGCUGGAACUGGAAGGUUCCGGGCCCGUGGGGGGCGGGGGCUGCGAGCCCCUUCCCUGUCACUGCAUGGAGAGCAACGGUCCUCCCCGCCAGCGCCUGGCCCUGCCGCGCACUUUCUCCCGUUGACCACAGCGCGCUGAAGUGACCCACGACCUGCAAGAGUGGCUCAAGGCCGGGAGAGCAACGAGGGCGGCAGCGCCCGCUUGCUCGCCGAAAGGCCCGGCGCUGCGUGGCGCGGCAGGGCCACUGCCGGCCGGGACGGGCUCCUCUGGCCCAGCUCAAGGGCUGCGCUUCCUCAAAGGCGAGGCGCUAAGCCGGCCGCCGAGGCAGCCACCGAAUCAGCAUGUCACCAGCCGGGCCAAGGCUGGGCCAGCUACGGCCUCUGCGCGGCCUCACGGCCGCCCACGAGGGGCUGUGCCCCCGCCAAGUUCCCAGAUUCGUUACCAGGCGUGACGUAAAGAGGACAGUUCCAGGGAUUUCCACAGAAACAAACUCUGACACUGGCCUCAGCUGCAGGAAAACCUGACUCGGACAAGGCUCUGGGUAAACGCCUGUGGCCACCGGCAGCUGCGUCUCCCGGUGACCGGAGCUCAGGCCCCAGGGCCGCAGCUGCGCACCUGACAGACUGGCAAUGCCAGCCCCUCAUGGGCCCCACGCGCCAGGCUGAUGCAGGUCGCAGGCCUUUGUUGACGCCUUUCCACAGCCUGGAAAGUCAUUUCCUUCCUGACUCACUCCUGCUCAUCCUAACCCUCAGCUCCAAGGCCUUUCCCCUGCGAGGCCCCCGGCUCCACCCUGGGGGCAGGACCCCCUGCACCCGGUCACUGGAUUUAGCACCGGGCCCUGAAACGUGUGGCCUCUGCCCACACGCCACAGGAUGGACCUCGUGCCCCAGGGCCAGGGUCAACCCUCAGCAAAGGGUCAAACUGGACGAGACUGAGACCCUCAGAUCAUCCAGAUGCCUCAGUGCUCGGGAUGGACUUAAGCUCUGUGUCUCCCAGUCACGUCACUGUAUAUCCACGUUCACCUCCAGAAAAAUGGAACUUAGUAUUAUUUAAAAGGAGAGGAAAAAAGAAUGCUUUGGCAAAAUGCUUUCUUUCACUUUAAAAUAUAAAUCUUAGUGGACAAGGUCACUUAUAUACAAUUACA